CAUGCUGUUAAACACCUCAUACAAUUUCAGUAUGCAAAAGUACAAAAUUUAUGGAAAAUCGUGAAACUCCAUGUUCCCUAAAUGGGACUUCAAAGUUCAAAAUCUGCGUCCUAUGCAGCAAUAUAUUCUUAGAGAGAAUCCAUAUCAGUUGUUGCUCUUUUCAGCAAACCACAGGUGAUGGCAUGUUAAAUUUAAUACCUUGCUUAUGAGUUCGAACUUUCCCAACAAGUGUCAUAAGAGAGAGUAAAAAAAGAAAAAAAGGAAUAAGAAGAAGAAG
rnacentral:misc_RNA from 1 species